rnacentral:tRNA from 1 species
UCCUGGCUGGUUCAGUCAGUAGAGCAUAAGACUCUUGAUCUUUGGGUGGUGAGUUCAAGCCCCAUGUUGGGUG